rnacentral:rRNA from 1 species
CCUACGGGAGGCUGCAGUGAGGAAUAUUGGUCAAUGGACGAGAGUCUGAACCAGCCAAGUCGCGUGAAGGAUGACUGCCCUAUGGGUUGUAAACUUCUUUUAUAAAGGAAUAAAACGAGGCACGUGUGCCUUUUUGCAUGUACUUUAUGAAUAAGGAUCGGCUAACUCCGUGCCAGCAGCCGCGGUAAUACGGAGGAUCCGAGCGUUAUCCGGAUUUAUUGGGUUUAAAGGGAGCGUAGAUGGGUUGUUAAGUCAGUUGUGAAAGUUUGCGGCUCAACCGUAAAAUUGCAAUUGAUACUGGCAGUCGUGAGUACAGUUGAGGUAGGCGGAAUUCGUGGUGUAGCGGUGAAAUGCUUAGAUAUUACGAAGAACCCCGAUUGCGAAGGCAGCUUACUAAACUGUGACUGACAUUGAUGCUCGAAAGUGUGGGUAUCAAACAGGAUUAGAUACCCCAGUAGUC